rnacentral:misc_RNA from 1 species
GCUUUUUGCUUUUUGAUUGUAUCUUCUCUAUCUUUUAUCAUUAAUCUUUUGAAUUUUGAACAGAAUGGACUUCUGUUUGCUGGUGUUGAGAACUGGAAUAUUACAGCACGGGACACCAAGAGUGGCAAAAUUGCAUACUGCAUUGACAAUGCGCAUUCUGCCCGUGUGAAAGGCAUCUUUGUACUUGCUAGGAAUGAUGGUGCUGCUGAUGAUACAUAUUUGUUGGUAUC